CAGAGCAGGAAAGGAGAAGUUAUAGCAGGCCUGAAAUAUAGCUACUGAAUAUUUACUUUUAUUUUUUCCCCAUCUUCUUUUGGAAACUACACCAGCUGGUUAAGGAAUCCCAAACAAGCCUGGAUACACUUGCUGAUUACUGUGUUGUGUCUGCCUUCAUCUUUCAUCUCAGUACAGAGGGAUACAUGUUUGACUUUGACAGGUCUGUUCGGACUGCAUUCCAGAAGAUGGGUGAUACAUCAUCUGGUUGGACUCUUGGGUACCUGCUGAGUCUGACCAACACCAUCCCACAGGACAGCCCAAGCUUCCUCAAAGGGAUUGAACCAGGGGUCUGGUCUUUGCUCCUUAUCCUUUUUGUUGUGCUGCUCACUGGCUCUUUCAUGCGCAUCUCAUACCGAGUGAUGGUCAAGGAAAACAGCUUCAGUAACAGGAACAGCAGUGUUUUUGAUGACAACUGACAUUCUGGGGCCCGAUGCUCUUGCCAGAGGUAUACAGGGUAUACACAGAAAUCACACAGGUGUAAGUCACUAGAGGAUGCAAGUGAUUUUCCUGCAGUACUCCCAGAGCCUCAGCGCCUUAUUUCAACCUGCUAGCACUUACACUACUGUACUUUGAGACAACGGAUCCUGCUCCACAGGAAACCUGGGAUUCCUGGUGGAUGGCAAGCUACUCAUUCUCCAAAUGAGAGCAGCCUGCACACAUUUGCUUGGGCUGCAGCUGAGAUUACUCACAUCAACCUAAUGAAACAAUGCCUCUGAGCUAUUGUACAGUUAAUAUUGAAUAAUCCUGUCUAAUCAGGAGAGGUGGUGACUGAAAAAGUGCUCUGUUCUCUUCUGUGCCCACAAGAGAGACAGUACCUGCAGUACUGCCACUACUGAGGACUGGAACAGCAUCAAAAUAUAGUCAGAAUGUUAACAGCCAACUCACUUCUGUGUUCUAGGGUAAAAGCAGGUAUUUUCUGCCUAUAACAACUGAGCUGUCUGUUCUUCCACCUCAGUGAUGGUUUCCAUGUGUCCCUUCCAGCGAAUGCUCCUGCUGACCAAGA
rnacentral:lncRNA from 1 species